rnacentral:rRNA from 1 species
GUGUGGAGGGAACGCGGGGAAGUGAAACAUCUCAGUACCCGUAGGAAGAGAAAAUAAGAAUGAUUCCGGGAGUAGUGGCGAGCGAAACUGGAUGAGCCUAAACCGUGUGCGUGUCAAGCGUGCUGGUGUUGCGUACAUGGUGUUGUGGGGUGUGUGUGUUCGGUUCAGCAUGACCGAGACGCUGAUGAGUGCUUACGUGUAGUCGAAGCUGGUGGGAAACAGUACCGGAGUGGGUGAGAGUCCCGUAGACGAAACGCGUGGCCCCGGUGUGACACGUGUCCCCGAGUAGCACGGAACUCGUGGAAUUCCGUGUGAAUCUGCCAGGACCACCUGGUAAGGCUAAAUACUUCCUGAUGACCGAUAGCGGAUCAGUACCGUGAGGGAAUGGUGAAAAGUACCCCGGGAGGGGAGUGAAAG